CAUGUAGGCGGUCUGUCAAGUCUGAUGUGAAAGCCCGGGGCUCAACCCCGGAAGUGCAUUGGGAACUGGCAGACUUGAGUACGGGAGAGGAAAGUGGAAUUUCGAGUGUAGGGGUGAAAUCCGUAGAUAUUCGAAGGAACACCAGUGGCGAAGGCGGCUUUCUGGACCGAUACUGACGCUGAGAUGCGAAAGCGUGGGGAGCAAACAGGAUUAGAUACCCUGGUAGUCC
rnacentral:rRNA from 1 species